rnacentral:tRNA from 1 species
UUUUUGCUUUGCACACCCGAUUUUGGGUCUGUAGCUCAGUUGGUUAGAGCGCACCCCUGAUAAGGGUGAGGUCGGCAGUUCGAAUCUGCCCAGACCCACCAGUUACCUGGUGAAGUUGGUCAGAGCGCGUACGACACCCGGAUACGGGGCCAUAGCUCAGCUGGGAGAGCGCCUGCCUUGCACGCAGGAGGUCAGCGGUUCGAUCCCGCUUGGCUCCACCACUUACUGCUUCUGUUUGAAAGCUUAGAAAUGAGCAUUCCAUCCUGAUUGAGGGUGCGUGA